AUACGUAGGUGGCAAGCGUUGUCCGGAAUUAUUGGGCGUAAAGCGCGCGCAGGCGGUCCUUUAAGUCUGAUGUGAAAGCCCACGGCUCAACCGUGGAGGGUCAUUGGAAACUGGGGGACUUGAGUGCAGAAGAGGAAAGUGGAAUUCCAAGUGUAGCGGUGAAAUGCGUAGAGAUUUGGAGGAACACCAGUGGCGAAGGCGACUUUCUGGUCUGUAACUGACGCUGAGGCGCGAAAGCGUGGGGAGCAAACAGGAUUAGAUACCCUGGUAGUCCACGCCGUAAACGAUGAGUGCUAAGUGUUAGGGGGUUUCCGCCCCUUAGUGCUGCAGCUAACGCAUUAAGCACUCCGCCUGGGGAGUACGGUCGCAAGACUGAAACUCAAAGGAAUUGGCGGGG
rnacentral:rRNA from 1 species